rnacentral:rRNA from 1 species
AGUAACGCGUGGAGAUCUACCCCGAAGUGAGGAAUACCGGCGAGAAAUCGCCGACAAUACCGCAUACGUUUCAAGCGAGAGCAAGAAAGAAAGUCUGCAAAGACGCUUUGGGAUGAGUCUGCGUCCGAUUAGUUAGUUGGCGGGGUCAAAGCCCACCAAGACGACGAUCGGUAGCUGGUCUGAGAGGAUGAUCAGCCACACUGGGAUUGAGAACGGCCCAG